CGCCGCUCCCCGCCGCCCUCCAGCUUCUUGCGAUUGAGCUUGAAGGAACCGUUGGCGCCGGUGCCCUUCACCUGCAGAAGCGUGUCGUUCUGCACGAGCGCCUUGAUCGAGUACUUGAGGCCACCCUCCCUCCGUGGCCCAAUGACCUGCACUCCUGUUUCAUCCCCCUGUGUGGCACCUGGGGCAGCUUGGAGCCUACCGAGGUCUCAACAAGGAACCAGUAAAUACAAAAAAAGGACAUCACGUCCCCUAUAGCUAACUGCAAAUGGUGACCAUCCCAGUCCUUGUUUGAUAACAUGGGCAAAGCAGUGAUUUCUGUAAGGACACCGAGAGGAACCUCACCUCUUUCUAAAACCUCCAACGCAGGGCCAGGUGCGGUGGCUCAUGCCUGUAAUCCCAGCACUUUGGGAGGCCGAGGCAGGUGGAUCACGAGAUCAGAAGAUCGAGACCAUCCUAGCUAACACAGUGAAACCCCGUCUCUAGUA
rnacentral:antisense_RNA from 1 species